GCUCUUUAAAUGUGGAGCACGUUUUCACCUGGUUAUCGUCGAAGAUUAAAUUUAAAUUGAUUGCUGAGGAUACUAAAUUUAGAAGAGUGCAAUUCUCAAACCGUAUUAAAGAUGCUUUGUCAAGAAAUAAAGUAGUAAGGGAAAGAGUGUUUCCAGUUUGCUUUCCUUCAAAAAGUUCUUAUACUGGUCAUUUUACUAGAGAUUCUCCAGACUUAACCCAAAAAAAAAACAGAAAAGUAAAAACCUUACUUCUUCAUUCUACGCAUUCUCAGAGAGAGGUUGCAAGUGUUUCAAAGUCAGUAGUGAGUCGAAUUUUAAAAAAAUGAUACAAAUGUGACUCUAGAACCAGACCAUGUCAGCAAAAGUGGCAGAAAAGGAUCACUACUCCAUGUUAUGACCGUAAAUUUAAAGACAUCUGUCUUGAAAACAGAAAAAAAAAUGUGGCUCAACUAGCUAUAAUUACAAACAAUGAAGGAAUUAACGUCUCCAAAAGGACAGUUCAGGGACGGUUGAUUGAUGAGAAUUUAGUGUGUUAUCGUCCAACCAAAAAAAGAAUGUUUAACUGAAGCCAUGAAAAAAAAGUGACUGGAAUGGGCUAGAAAACACCAGAAUAUGACUAUUGAAGACUGGAGUAGAGUAAAUAUAAUUUAUAAUAUUGUAAGAAGCCAGAAAAAUUUAAGGAUAAAUAUUUAUUUUUGAAAUAUCUUUGAAAUAUUUUGCAGGUAAAAUAUCUUUAAAAUGUUUUACAGGUCUGCUUCUCGGACCAAUCAGCAUUUCAAAUUUUGAUGGACAAAAGCUCAUUUGUUCGACGAUGCCCAGAAAAAAAUUUCACUAGGACUGCUUUUUAGAAAAGGUUCAACAUCCUGUGAGUGUAGAGGUGUGGUCUGUGAUCUCAGCCAAGGGUAUGGGCUGCCUUUACAUUGUGGAAGGAACCAUGAAGCAGGAUUGGUCCUGCCAUAUGGUUCCUUCCUACAAGCGAUUACUGGAAAACAGGCUCCUGCUCCAGGUCUAAGAAUGGUUCCCUGGUAAUGAAGAGUAUAUGUUCACGCAUGACUCAGCACCGUCCCAUAAAGCUAGAAGUGUUACAGCAUUCCUAACUGAAAAAAAAAUGCAUGUUUUGCCAUGGCCAGGGAAUUCACCUGAUAUUAACCCUAUAGAAAAUUUAUGACAGUUCAUAAAACAGAAAAUUGCCAAAAAAAAUUAUCACUACCAAGCAGCAAUUGAUAGAAAUCCUUAUAAGAGAGUGGAAUAGCAACCUCAGUCUCCAACACAAUGCAGAAGUCUACAUAGAUAGCAUGCCCAGAUGCCUGAAAGCUAUUAUUGUAGCUAAGGCUGGCAUUACAAAAUAUUAAGAUUAUUACCUUAUUUGUCAUGUUUUCA